rnacentral:miRNA from 1 species
AGCGCGUAUGCGGUGACAUCUC